rnacentral:rRNA from 1 species
GACGAACGCUGGCGGCGUGCCUAAUACAUGCAAGUAGAACGCUGAAGAGAGGAGCUUGCUCUUCUUGGAUGAGUUGCGAACGGGUGAGUAACGCGUAGGUAACCUGCCUUGUAGCGGGGGAUAACUAUUGGAAACGAUAGCUAAUACCGCAUAACAAUGGAUGACACAUGUCAUUUAUUUGAAAGGGGCAAUUGCUCCACUACAAGAUGGACCUGCGUUGUAUUAGCUAGUAGGUGAGGUAAUGGCUCACCUAGGCGAUGAUACAUAGCCGACCUGAGAGGGUGAUCGGCCACACUGGGACUGAGACACGGCCCAGACUCCUACGGGAGGCAGCAGUAGGGAAUCUUCGGCAAUGGGGGCAACCCUGACCGAGCAACGCCGCGUGAGUGAAGAAGGUUUUCGGAUCGUAAAGCUCUGUUGUAAGUCAAGAACGGGUGUGAGAGUGGAAAGUUCACACUGUGACGGUAGCUUACCAGAAAGGGACGGCUAACUACGUG